rnacentral:rRNA from 1 species
GUGCCAGCCGCCGCGGUAAUACGGAGGGUGCGAGCGUUAAUCGGAAUUACUGGGCGUAAAGGGCACGCAGGCGGUUAAUUAAGUUGGAUGUGAAAUCCCCGGGCUUAACCUGGGAAUGGCAUUCAAGACUGGUUAGCUAGAGUCUUGUAGAGGGGGGUAGAAUUCCAUGUGUAGCGGUGAAAUGCGUAGAGAUGUGGAGGAAUACCGGUGGCGAAGGCGGCCCCCUGGACAAAGACUGACGCUCAUGUGCGAAAGCGUGGGGAGCAAACAGGAUUAGAUACCCUGGUAGUCCACGCUGUAAACGAUGUCGAUUUGGAGGUUGUGGUCAAGAACUGUGGCCUCCGGAGCUAACGCGUUAAAUCGACCGCCUGGGGAGUACGGCCGCAAGGUUAAAACUCAAAUGAAUUGACGG